GGGUCGAUGAUGACACUGCAAUGGGGCUGAAAAGAGGUGAUGUCUUCAAAAAACAGGCUCAAUAGGAUUACGCUGAGGCCC
rnacentral:snoRNA from 1 species